GCAACCGGGAGGGAGACUGCGGCGCCGUGGUGGCGGCGAUAACUUUUCCGCGCUGUACUCGUGGGCGGAGUGGGGGGUGCGCCUGGCAGGUCCCCCAGCCCUGGGCGAGGGGGAGGGCGCCGCCCCGCGCCCCGCCGCCGGUGGCUGGGGGGACGGCGGGGCCGGUCUGAUGGUGGCGGCCGCGGAGUCAGUCCCGGGGCGCCCCCUUUGGAGCGGGGGAAGGGCGGCCCACCUCUACUCCGUCCCCAAGGGCCCAAGGCGACCCCCCAGCCACUCCCCCGACCCUGGAGAUUCGUGAGAGCGUGCUGGGGAGGGCGGGUCCCAACGCGAAUCGGGGCAGGUCAAGGUGGGUCGGAGUUGGGCGCUGGGUGGGAGGAUAUGUGCCCCCCUCGGGGUGGAGGGAAUGGACAUGGUGUCUCGGCCCCGGGAUUGGGAAGGUAGGUGCCUGUCUGGGCUGUGUGAGUGGGGGUCUCCCAGAGUUCUGUGGAUGCGGGUGGAGGACAGUGCUUCAAGUUCUUGACAUGUCAGCCAGUGUGGGGGUGGGGAGGCCCUCCAGAGGAGAGAAGUGGGGACCCAGUAGUCCAGCCUGGGUUUAAAAGAGGACUAGGGGCACCCCUCUCCUCCCUUCUCACUCCUUCUGGCCCAACUAAGAAGGCUCAUUCAUAGAAAGGGGGCCCACAUCUGGGAGUUUCCUGGAGGGCUGACUCCUCGGCCCUGUGUAGCUUGGGGUUCCUGUGCCCUUGGGGUGCAAGAAGAGGGUGAAAGGGCUCAGACUGAACCCGGACCCCUUCAUCCUAGCGCCAGACUGACCUCUGACCCCAGUGCUGGGCUCCACUGCUACCAAAGCCCCUCAGCCCUACACUGCCUGUCUGGUGCAAGCCAGCCAGGCCCAGACCCAGUGGCUUCCUGAAUGUCUUGGAGGUGCGGUUGGCUCUGUGUCACCUAUCCUUUCUGCCCCAGCUCCAACCAACUGCCUGCUCCUGAUGGGUGGUCUUCGAGGGGGAAGCUGGGACCCUUGGCAUAAGGGUGUCCUCUGGCAGCCCUGCCGAUGCCAGCCCGAGCCGGAGGGCAGUCCCCAACAGGUGCCCGAGCUUAGAGGCGAGGUGAUGGAGGGCACACCCUGUCCGCUCACCCACGCACCGCGCCUGGGCCAGCCCAUGCGCAUGUGUUCACAUGCCGCUGUCCUGGGAAGGCACGGGCCCUAGGGCUCCGUGCCAGCUGUCUUCUAGCGCCCCAGGGGCACCCACUGCCCUCUGUCCUUGCAGGAUGUCCUCUGGGAGCUCCCUCAAGACCCCAGUGGGCGAGCCUUGUCUGUGGGUCUGGAGGGGGCCCCCGAAAUAGCUGCUGGCCUGGCUCUGGGCUGGCACGCGGAGCACAUGCGUGACAGGGCGUGUCCAGGGGGGUCGGGCCUGCCUGUGCCGGCCCGGCCUCUGAGUCUCCGCAGACCCUUGCUCAGUGGAAAGAAACAACAGGGACGGAUGCUCCAAGGGUCCUCUGCGGGACCCCACCCCACCAACCUCUACCUGUUGCAAGUGAAGGCCAGAUGUGUGCGGGCCGCAGCUGUGGGGCAGACCCCUGUCCCCCUGGAAGUCCGAGGGACACUGGCCCAAAGGGUACAGUGGACCUGCUCACCGAGGGCCUAGGUGAUUCUUUGAUAUACCGUGCCAGCUGCUGGCCCUGCCCGGCGCCCUGCCCCUCAACCCUGGUGCCAUGGCCGGCUGGGGUUCCUGGGGAUGGGAUUUGCUGCCUGUCACAAAUCACAUUGCCAGGGAUUUCCAACCGACCCUGAGCCCUGCCUCCGGGGCCACCACUGUCACCGCCACCGCUGAGGACGCUGACCCUGGGGAUGGGGAUGGGGUGGCAGAGAAGCCCCACUGCUUGCAUCUGGCCUGGGGAGCAGGGCUUAGCUGCUUGUGAGCAGGUCCACAUCAAGUCGUGUUCACAGUGGCUAAGUUCCGCCCCCCCAGGGCCCUGCCGCCUCCUCUGGCCCUGCCACCUCUCCCCCUCUGCUGCCUGGCCAACCUCGGGCCUUCCCUGGGCUCUGCCUCCCGUGCCUACUGAGCUGAAACACAGUUGAUUUGUGCACACUGGCUCAGUUCAGCAGGAACAGGAGUCCAGCCCCCUUGGAGUCUGCUAUGGCCCCUUCCCUCCUUGGGUGGGCCAGUCGCUGCCUGGGGGAAGAAAUGAGGACCCUGCUGGCCUGGGACCUGGGUCCGGAGGAGGAACCUGGGGAUGGGUGGGGCCUGGGAUGGGGUGGGUGAACCCAGCUGUCUGCUGCAGCCCCCUCCUCCAAUUUCUGCACUCGGGGACUGGCCCCCGCCCCCAGUCCCAACUCAAGACUGGGCUGUGCUCCCAGGGAGAAUGAGCAGACAGGCGGGUGGCUGGCUGGCUGGCCCUUCCAUGAAGAAAGGAAGCCAGAUGUGUCCUUGCCUGGCCGACCCUCGGCCCCUCCUCAUCCAAACCUGGUGGGGGCCUGGCUGGUCUGCAUCUUGCCAGCAGCCAGUUACCCAAGAGGAAGCUGCCUUGGGCCCCCCAGACCGUUAAAUGCCAACUCCGGGCUUCCGGAACCAGGCUGGCCUGACCUGAACCUGCCUGGCCCCUUCUCUCUGGGCCCUGUGGCUUCCGAACUUGGGGGGAGGGGCCAUGGCACCCUCCUGGCACAUGGGGUGGUGAAUGAGGUCCCUGUAGGCCCAGAGGACACAAGCAGGCCUGCUCAGUCCUUGGGUGGGUCCAGGGCAUGGAAGAGUUAAGACUGUAUCCAUCAUCAGAUGGAAUAGGGCUCUUCUAGGGGUGAAACUAGGGAUGUAGAGUGAAGCCCCCCAAGCUGUCAAGAGUUGGCUCAGUGUACCCCUCCUCCAUCGGAGCAGGGGCAGACAGCAGCUUGGGGAGGUCUCUGCUGUGUCUUGAGCCUGCUGUCCAGUUAAAUAAAAGCUGCCCCCUGCCUUA